AGUGAACGCUGGCGGUAGGCCUAACACAUGCAAGUCGAACGGCAGCACAGGAGAGCUGCUCUCUGGGUGGCGAGUGGCGGACGGGUGAGGAAUACAUCGGAAUCUACCUUUUCGUGGGGGAUAACGUAGGGAAACUUACGCUAAUACCGCAUACGACCUACGGGUGAAAGUGGGGGACCGCAAGGCCUCACGCGAUUAGAUGAGCCGAUGUCCGAUUAGCUAGUUGGCGGGGUAAUGGCCCACCAAGGCGACGAUCGGUAGCUGGUCUGAGAGGAUGAUCAGCCACACUGGAACUGAGACACGGUCCAGACUCCUACGGGAGGCAGCAGUGGGGAAUAUUGGACAAUGGGCGCAAGCCUGAUCCAGCCAUACCGCGUGGGUGAAGAAGGCCUUCGGGUUGUAAAGCCCUUUUGUUGGGAAAGAAAUCCUGUCGAUUAAUACUCGGUGGGGAUGACGGUACCCAAAGAAUAAGCACCGGCUAACUUCGUGCCAGCAGCCGCCGCGG
rnacentral:rRNA from 1 species